rnacentral:misc_RNA from 1 species
UUUCCGUAGGUGAGCCUGCGGAAGGAUCAUUAUUGUAUAACCGAGGUGCGAGGGCCUUCGCGAACCCUAAAUCUCGUUCACGCCCGUGUGGACGCGCACACAUCCAUCUCACCACUAUGUGCACCACCGCGUUGAUCCUCCUUUCGCUUGUUCGGAAGCGGUCUUACGUUGACACACAAACUUCGCAUGCACUGUAGAAUUUAUAUUUUGUUUUUGCGAUCACGCAAUCAAUACGACUUUCAACAUCGAAUCACUUAGCUCUCGCAUCUAUGAAUAACG